CAGUGUUACAGAAGAAAAUCAGAUGUUUAGGCUUCAGAUCAGGGUAUAGAUGGAGAGAUUUCAGAUUCUUUAAGAGUCAGGCUAGAGAAGAAGAAGGAGGAAUAGAAGAAUGAACAUUUCCUAUUGGAGCAGAGAGAGAGGAUUAUCAUGCCCUGUGUGACAAAGACCAGCAACAGGGUCAACAAUGGGAUAUCUCCAGCUGUGACCCAGGCUGUGACUGAACAUGGACCGAGCAGUUGAUAACCCUGUGGGUGCUCUUUGUUUUCACCACUGUUGGGAACUGCGUCGUGCUGUUCUCCAUGUGGAGGAGGAAGAGAAGGCCCAGGAUGACCUUCUUUGUGACUCAGCUGACCAUCACAGGUAAGGGACUCUGCAGGCGGGAAAGGAGGACACUCCGUGCAGAGCCCUUUGGGUGUUGCUUUCCAUUAUCCUA
rnacentral:lncRNA from 1 species